rnacentral:rRNA from 1 species
GGNCCCUCACUCUGGGAUAAGCCUGGGAAACUGGGUCUAAUACUGGAUACGACCGAUCUCCGCAUGGAGUGUUGGUGGAAAGUNUUUUGUGGUGGGGGAUGGACUCGCGGCCUAUCAGCUUGUUGGUGGGGUAAUGGCCUACCAAGGCGACGACGGGUAGCCGGCCUGAGAGGGCGACCGGCCACACUGGGACUGAGACACGGCNCCAGACUCCUACGGGAGGCAGCAGUGGGGAAUAUUGCACAAUGGGCGAAAGCCUGAUGCAGCGACGCCGCGUGAGGGAUGACGGCCUUCGGGUUGUAAACCUCUUUCACCAGGGACGAAGCUAACGUGACGGUACCUGGAGAAGAAGCACCGGCUAACUACGUGCCAGCAGCCGCGGUAAUACGUAGGGUGCGAGCGUUGUCCGGAAUUAUUGGGCGUAAAGAGCUUGUAGGCGGUCUGUCGCGUCUGCUGUGAAAGACCGGGGCUUAACUCCGGUUCUGCAGUGGGUACGGGCAGACUAAAGUGUGGUAGGGGAGACUGGAAUUCCUGGUGUAGCGGUGAAAUGCGCAGAUAUCAGGAGGAACACCGAUGGCGAAGGCAGGUCUCUGGGCCAUUACUGACGCUGAGAAGCGAAAGCAUGGGGAGCGAACAGGAUUAGAUACCCUGGUAGNUCCAUGCCGUAAACGUUGGGCGCUAGGUGUGGGACUCAUUCCACGAGUUCCGUGCCGCAGCUAACGCAUUAAGCGCCCCGCCUGGGGAGU